UCUCAAGCAGGCAGCGAUUGGAUAUUGGCAACACCAAUACACUUCGGAGAAUCCUUACACAUUAUACGAUGGCGAAUACAUAUACUACGUAGAACAUUUAUCGAGGGAUGAUCGAUGGAAAACCAACCGAAAAGCAACACGAAAGUUGUUCAGCUAUGGAUGACACAGGAUACACGAAUCAUACGACACAAGGCAUCUGAGGGAUAGAGGGACACGAUCCGCCGCAUUCUAUUCACACAUAUGGACACAAUUGAGAUUUUGUAGAACUGUGGAGUAGCCUACUGGGAUACC